GGGCUUUCCACAGCGGCCCCUGCGGGACCUGAAGGCUGCCACCUGCUGAGCCCCUGGCGAGGCACAGCCCUGCGGCUGCACGAGCUAGGAAGCCACGCAUGGCAGCUGGGAAGGGCUGUUGCAGGGCGAGGGAGCACGAUUCAGCCCUCGCCAAGCUGCUAGGGCCUGGGAAAGGGGACUGGGGGAGACUGGUGCAGAGAAGAUGAAAUAAAACCCGGAAGUUUGCCCUAUGCAUCAUUUGAAAUACAUAUAUGCUGCUUUGAAUGCAUACAAACUCUUCUUGCUUCUACAUCUCUCUCACAGACUUCAUGAUCCCCUCUCUCUUUAGAUACCACAGAUCCCCCAUCCUGUUUAUAGACAAAGCUGAUAGUUUCCAAAGGAAGAUGAAAAUUGAUGUGGAUUCUGAGCAAAGGACUUGAGUGAGUCUUACUGAUUCACUGUGAAUAGUGAAGAAAUCACCAAAAGAGCCUGCUUCAUGGACCCAGAGGGACAGACUUCCAUCUUCAGCUCUCUCUGUGCAAAUAUUAAGUUUA